UGGGGAAUAUUGGACAAUGGAGGAAACUCUGAUCCAGCAAUUCUGUGUGUGUGAAGAAGGUUUUAGGACUGUAAAACACUUUUAGUAGGGAAGAAAAAAAUGACGGUACCUACAGAAGAAGCAACGGCUAAAUACGUGCCAGCAGCCGCGGUAAUACGUAUGUUGCGAGCGUUAUCCGGAAUUAUUGGGCUUAAAGGGCAUCUAGGCGGUAAGACAAGUUGAAGGUGAAAACCUGUGGCUAAACCAUAGGCUUGCCUACAAAACUGUUGAACUAGAGUACUGGAAAGGUGGGUGGAACUACACGAGUAGAGGUGAAAUUCGUAGAUAUGUGUAGGAAUGCCGAUGAUGAAGAUAACUCACUGGACAGAAACUGGCGCUGAAGUGCGAAAGCUAGGGGAGCAAACAGG
rnacentral:rRNA from 1 species